rnacentral:rRNA from 1 species
AGGGAAGUGAAGGGAAUGAGCGGCGGACGGGUGACUAACACGUAAGGAACCUGCCCCAGGGAUUGGGAUAACUCCGAGAAAUCGGACCUAAUACCGAAUAGUUCUUCAGACCGCAUGGUCUGAUGAUGAAAGGCGCUCCGGCGUCACCUUGGGAUGGCCUUGCGGUGCAUUAGCUAGUUGGUGGGGUAAUGGCCCACCAAGGCGACGAUGCAUAGCCGACCUGAGAGGGUGAUCGGCCACACUGGGACUGAGACACGGCCCAGACUCCUACGGGAGGCAGCAGUAGGGAAUCUUCCACAAUGGACGAAAGUCUGAUGGAGCAACGCCGCGUGAGUGAUGAAGGUUUUCGGAUCGUAAAACUCUGUUGUAAGGGAAGAACAAGUACGAGAGGGAAUGCUCGUACCUUGACGGUACCUUGCGAGAAAGCCACGGCUAACUACGUGCCAGCAGCCGCGGUAAUACGUAGGUGGCAAGCGUUGUCCGGAAUUAUUGGGCGUAAAGCGCGCGCAGGCGGCCUUUUAAGUCUGAUGUGAAAGCCCCCGGCUCAACCGGGGAGGGUCAUUGGAAACUGGAAGGCUUGAGUACAGAAAAGAAGAGUGGAAUUCCAUGUGUAGCGGUGAAAUGCGUAGAGAUGUGGAGGAACACCAGUGGCGAAGGCGACUCUUUGGUCUGUAACUGACGCUGAGGCGCGAAAGCGUGGGGAGCAAACAGGAUUAGAUACCCUGGUAGUCCACGCCGUAAACGAUGAGUGCUAGGUGUUGGGGGGUUUCCGCCCCUCAGUGCUGAAGCUAACGCAUUAAGCACUCCGCCUGGGGAGUACGGCCGCA